rnacentral:rRNA from 1 species
CAAUUGCUUAUAACCUUUUGGUUAUAAAUAAUUGUUAGUGGCAGACGGGUGAGUAAUGCGUAGGAAUCUACCUAGUGGUAUGGAAUAGCCAUUAGAAAUGAUGGGUAAUACUGUAUAAUCCCUGCGGGGGAAAGAUUUAUCGCUAUUAGAUGAGCCUACGUUAGAUUAGCUAGUUGGUAAGGUAAUGGCUUACCAAGGCUAUGAUCUAUAGCUGGUCUGAGAGGACGAUCAGCCACACUGGAACUGAGAUACGGUCCAGACUCCUACGGGAGGCAGCAGUGGGGAAUAUUGGACAAUGGGUGAAAGCCUGAUCCAGCUAUGCCGCGUGAGUGAAGAAGGCCUUCGGGUUGUAAAACUCUUUCAAUAGGGAAGAUAAUGACGGUACCUAUA